UAGAGGUCAAGUUCAAUAAUGACGAUUUUGACUUUUACCGUUCAGGAGUUAUGGUUCUUGAAAGAUCGUAAAAUGGUGUUUCCAUUCACGUUGUUGCAUUUACUCAUGAACCAUUCAAUCUAAGCUUUUCAAAUUUUAAUAUGUUGAUACUGAUGACAAAAUGGAGGUCAAAUUUGAUAUUGACGAUUUUCACUUUCACCAUUCAUCAGUAAUGGUUCUUGUGAUAUUGCCAGGACACAAAUAAAUGUUAAUAAAUCCGGUUUGCUGUCGUUGUGACAGCCUCUUGUUGUGUUUUGGUCUGUUUUUUUCGUACUAUAUGCAAUAGGUCUACUAUAUUUGUUAUAUGGAAUGAUUGUAAGGUGUACAUAUCUAGCGGGCAGAUGUCAUGGGACCUUGACCUCAUUUUCAUGGUUCAGUGGUUAUAGUUAAAUUUUUGUGUUUUGGUCUGGUUUUUUUCAUACUAUAUGCAAUAGGUCUACUAUAUUUGUUGUAUGGAAUGAUUGUAAGGUGUACAUGUCUAGCGGGCAGAUGUCAUGUGACCUUGACCUCAUUUUCAUGGUUCAGUGGUUAUAGUUAAAUUUUUGUGUUUUUGGUCUUGUUUUUUUCAUACUAUAUGCAAUAGGUCUACUAUAUUUGUUGUAUGGAAUGAUUGUAAGGUGUACAUGUCUAGCGGGCAGAUGUCAUGUGACCUUGACCUCAUUUUCAUGGUUCAGUGGUCAAAGUUAAGUUUUUGAGUUUUGGUCUUUUUAUCUAAUACUAUAUGCCAUAGGUCAACUAUAUUUGGUGUAUGGAAAUAUUUUAUGAUCUUUAUGUCAGUAGCGCAGGUUUCUUUUGACCCUGACCUCAUUUUCAUGGUUCAUUGCACAGUGUUAAGUUUUUGUGUUUUGGUCUAUUUUUCUUAAACUAUAAGUAAUAGGUCAACUAUAUAUGUUGUAUAGAAGCAUUGUUAGCUGUACAUGUCUGCCUGGCAUGUUUCAUCUGACCUUGACCUCAUUUUCAUGGUUCAUUGGUCUUUGUUUAGUUAUCUUGGUUAAUGUUAAGUUUAUGAGACAGUUGUAAUAAAGCUUUAUACUUAGGAC
rnacentral:lncRNA from 1 species